CCUCAGGCUAUGACCAAGAAACGGCCUCGCUGUUACUUCUCUUACAUCUCCUUCCACCGCAACCAGGAGGACAGAAGACUCCAAAAAUCAGUGCAAGUGAUGCAGUUGAGAGACUUGUUGUCUUUCAUCAGUCAUGCUGGAGUUUAGAGGAGCAUCUCCGGGGUCAACAGGGUCUGCAGCCAUACCUCCUUGCUGUUGGGCGUCAGAGAAGCAAGAUUGACAGCUUCUACAUCGUCAUGGAUAAGUGCCUCAUCCCAUGCCAGACAAACGGUUCUCUUGGAGCAUUUGAUGAGCUAUUCAAAGCACAUUUUGUGAACAUUGUCUUUUCUCCUAUUCUCCCUAUGGGUAUGACGAUAUAUUUGAAGCAUUUGAUUGUUGAACACCAUAAACUCUUUAAGUUCUUAUAUUCACAUCGAAAUUUGAUACCUAAGCAUCAUUUUAUGAUCCACUAUCCAUCUUCCAUUAGGAAAAUAGGUCCAUUGUUACAUAUGUGGUCUAUGAGGUUUGAGGCUAAACACAAAAUGUUUAAAGAAUAUUUUAAAAACUUUAAAAAUAUAACCAAAUCACUUACGAAAAAGCAUCAGAUGGCCACAGCUUAUCAUUGGGAAACAAUAAGUAUUAAAGAAAAUGAGCAUGGGCCUCUCAAACCAUUUUCACUUAAAGAUGAAGAUGUGGUCAACAAAGAAAUGCUUCAAAUGAUUUCAUCAGGAGAUGUUUUCUCAACCAGCUGGGUUAGAGUUGAGGGUGUUGAAUACAGACCAGGACUUGCUGUUUGCAGCACAAUUCAAGAUGAGAUGCCAGUGUUUUGUCAGAUAAGUGAUGUACUUUUAGUUGACAAUACCUUUCUUUUGUUAUCUAAACAGCUAUUCACAGAAACAUUUGAUGAUCAUCAUCAUGCUUUCAGGAUUGUUCAAAGUGAAGAAAGGCAUUUAGUAAAGAAAACUUAAAUUUCAUAAGCCUUUUGAUAUUCAAAACUCUUAUGGCGUUUCUAAUGAAUGCUUGUUCAUCGUACCACAAUUUAAAAUGUUGGAAACACAGCUGCAAAAAUAAAGUGUUCAAAAUUAA